GUUCUACUCCCCCCGUCCGGAAAUACUUGUCAUCAAAAUGAAUAAAAGAGGAUGUAUCUAGAUGUAUUUUAGUUCUAGAUACAUCCCUUUUUAUCCAUUUUGAUGACAAGUACUUUCAGACGGAGGGAGUAUCAU
rfam:Triticum aestivum genome assembly, contig: Triticum_aestivum_CS42_TGACv1_scaffold_131400_2BL